rfam:Alligator mississippiensis ScZkoYb_201.1, whole genome shotgun sequence.
CCAAAGGCUCUUUUAAGAGCCCCCCACUUACUCUACAAGAGAGCUG